UACGGGGGGGGCAAGCGUUGUUCGGAAUUACUGGGCGUAAAGGGCUCGUAGGCGGCCAACUAAGUCGGAUGUGAAAUCCCCAGGCUUAACCUGGGAACUGCAUCCGAUACUGGAUGGCUUGAAUCCGGGAGAGGGAUGCAGAAUUCCAGGUGUAGCGGUGAAAUGCGUAGAUAUCGAGAGGAACACCAGAGGUGAAGACGGGUUGCUGGGCCGACACUGACGCUGACAGCGCGAAAGCCAGGGGAGCAAACGGG
rnacentral:rRNA from 1 species